rnacentral:misc_RNA from 1 species
UUAAUUAUUAUUUUUUGAAGUUCAGAAGACAAAUUCCUAAUGAGUUUGAGAAAACUUCUGCCGGCCGAAACCGGCAAAGAAACAAAUUGAUUAAGUCAAAGGGUUGAAGUUUGGGCGCUGGAUCAGCACCCUAACUAGUAAUGAUCCUUCCGCAGGUUCACCUACGGAAA